rnacentral:misc_RNA from 1 species
GAUGACAAUUUUGAAGCUCGGGUAUGUCUGUUUCUGCAAAUCUAUGUUCUAUUAGGAGCCACGAGUUUCUGUAGAGCAAAUUGCAAAUGCCUUUUCAGUGCUGAUGAUAUAUUUUAUUCACCCUCUGCCAUGUAAACUGUCUUCUUGAUAUAUUUUAUUUCAGAGAAUGGCUAAUAUGUUCUAUGGCAAUGCAUGUAGCAAAUGAAGCUGAUUUUUUUUUUUUGGGUUCUGUACUAUAAUUUCUUUAGCUAGCGAAUUGGUUUCUUAAACUUGUGUUUUCUAACAGGUUUCAGAUUUUGGACUUGCAA